ensembl:lncRNA
UGACACACCAAGGCCACACCUCCUAAGGGUGUCAUUCCUAGUGACCAAGCAUUCAACCAUAUAAGUCUAUGGGGGACAUUCCUAUUCACCACAGGAACGAAGCCUGGAGGGGUUGGCAACUGUAUCUUGUGCCUGCAGGAUCUCUAGUUGCCAGAUAUUAAGCUAUGACAGAAAAUGACUGUGUUGGGCUGGGGAUAUAGCUCAGGGUGGGGACUACAUGCAUGAAACCUUGGGUUCACUCCAGCACCGCAUACACCAGGUGUGGCAGAACACACCUGUAAUCCAGCUCCACCAUAGCACAAACCAUGCUAGCAAGAACACUGGGGCGGUAAGCUCACUUGGUUUUUAUUCUAAGGCAGGUGGAGGUUGUGUCUUUUUCCUAUAGGCUGGGGUCUGAUCUCACAGUCUUUCAUGACUGGCUAGCUUUAAAAGAAUUAGCACAAAGGAUAUGAAGGAAAUGGGUGAGACCAUUAAUUUCCAGGAAUAUAGCAGACCUAAAACAAGUUUUACAAGAUGGGAAAUUUAUGGAAUUUUGGCCUUCAUGAUUCUCUAGGUUCUCAGCAAGCAGGGGCAAGAGGAGGCUCCAUUUUCUUCCCAUGGCCCCUCAUUAUUAUUAUUAUAUCUUGCCUCUAUAGGACACGCCUGGGGAUCAAUUUUUAAAAUUAAGGAAUCCAUCUACAGGUCCUAACUGGUCUUCAGUAGUCAUCGAUGAACCCUUUAAUUACCCAGUUUUUGCCCCCUUUGAUUGGAAAUGUGGAUCAAGAUCAACUGAGUAGCAGAGACUUUCUUCCAAAUCAACUUUCCAGCGUUGGGAUGACAGGCUGGUGAAGGGAGGACUAUCUACAUCUUUCCGGAAACGGAUGGAGAUCUCCCUAGCACGCAGAACCUGUUCUCUUCUCUCCUUAUAGUUCCUUCCUUGCAGUCGUGACAAUCGAUGACUAUCGUGGCUUUGGAGGUUUGUGUCUGCCUGCAGAUGGAGUUAUAAUGAAGUUAGAAGUUGUAUGACGUCACCCUGGCAGCCAUCUUAGACUGACACUACUUCCCGACAGCCUACUUGAAGGACUUUGGGCUCACGUGUAUCCUGUUCUCAAGGACAUCCAAGCUCAGGGCUGGUUGAUCUCUGAGGUGAGAAGAUACAACUUUAAUCUGGAUCUUUUGAGGGAGGAAGAUAAACCUUUAAUCUGUGGCACACCUGCUGGCAGCCUAUUUAAAGGACAUGGAAGAAGGAAGCUUGCUGUCUUUGCCUGCUUGUUCUUGCUUCCACUAGCAAGUCCAGUGCUUCACUGACAUUAGAUUCCAGUGUACGCUGAAGACCAGCUGAGACAUGCAGCCUUGUGAACUGAGCAACUACUGGACUGUUAGACUAGCUGGACCACAGUCUGCAAGCUAUUCUAGUAAAACACUCUCUCUCUCUCUCUCUCUCUCUCUCUCUCUCUCACACACACACACACACACACACACACACACACACACACACACUGUACCUUGCUAAUCUACAGAACCCUAAUACAGCAGAGAAACCCAGGCAUUUCACCAACGAAGAGGAAGUGUUCCAGACUACCACUCCAGCCUCCCCUUCCCAUCACACCCUUCUUGUUCUUGUCAGCCUCCACUAUCACACAUUAAACACCAACAAAAAAGCUAAUCAUCUCUCAAUGCUCACGAGGCUGGCUGUGUCUCUACUGAAAUUAGCCUUCUCGUUGGUCGGUUGACAAUGUUGCUCCUGCCAAGAGUGUCAUCUAAGACAAGCACUUUGAUCUGAGCAGGCACAUAUCAAUCUUAUUUUGAAAAAUGAAAAAAGAUGCCCAAAGAGCACUGUGAACUAACAAACGUGCUGCAGGUUUGGAGUGCGCAAAGGGCUUUCCAAUAACGUCUUGUAAUUCGACCCGACAACACUCUGGCAGGAGGCUUAUUACAAUGCGUCAGUGCUGUAGCACUCGAGGAACCAGGUCGCUGGCCGCCUGGCUGCAGACACUAGGCUAGGGGAGGUUAGGAGACAGAAGCGUGCCAGGCUGGAUGAGAUCCACACGAACCUCCAGGUCCCGCACUCGACUCCCCCACGCCCGCCUCGCCCCCGAACCAAAUCAUUCUGGAUGUUUCCUGUCUCCCUCUUUCUGCACAUAGCCCAGCAGAUCCUCAAAAGGCGUCUUAACUGGAACCGAAGUCGCACGGAUUCACGUGCGAUCGUGCGAAGUCUUGGCUUGCAGCCUCGCGAGGACCCCGGGGUGACUUCUAGGACAGUGGCUGCAGAUAAGCCAGGCCAGGUGUUUGCAGCAGGUGCUCUCAGCAGGUGCUCGCAGGCGGCCCUGGACUCUGCUGCCGACCGAGCCGAGCUUCCCGGCUGCUGCGCAGUGCGGCGUGCAGCAAGGCGGUGUGUCUUCGAGGGAGCUUGGGGAGACCAUCCAUAUUUUUAAAGGGCUCGCGUCCUGCAGCCCGAAGAAGCUGCCGCUCUGCAGGGUCGAGAGCGCACCUGCGCUGUGCACGGCCACGUGACCCAGCCCCAUUCAUCUCCGCAGCUAGCGAGGCCCCGAGACAGCGGAUGUAACGUCCCAGGACAAAGAGGCAGGAUACUUCCUGAAACCCGUCCUCCUGUGCAAGUGCCAACGCCGGCGCGCUGACGCCCGCGGCUCGCCGUUCGCCUUUCCUGACCUCGCUGCGCCCCUAAGGGAGCCCGGGCCUGCGCACCGCCCGCGGCUCCCCAGCGCGCACCUGGCGCCCACGGGUGCGCGCCCCACCCUCCAGGUGAGCAGCGCCAGGCCCCGC